CAAGUCGAGCGAUGAAGCACCUUCGGGUGUGAAUUAGCGGCGAACGGGUGAGGAACACGUGAGAAAUCUGCCUUCAACACUGGGAUAACUCCGGGAAACCGGGGCUAAUACCGGAUAUGAAACCUGCGGGCAUCCGCGGGUUUGGAAAGUUUUUCGGUUGAAGAUGAUCUCGCGGCCUAUCAGCUUGUUGGUGAGGUAAUGGCUCACCAAGGCGACGACGGGUAGCCGGCCUGAGAGGGCGACCGGCCACACUGGGACUGAGACACGGCCCAGACUCCUACGGGAGGCAGCAGUGGGGAAUAUUGGGCAAUGGAGGAAACUCUGACCCAGCGACGCCGCGUGCGGGAUGAAGGCCUUCGGGUUGUAAACCGCUUUCAGCAGGGAAGAAGCGAAAGUGACGGUACCUACAGAAGAAGCACCGGCUAACUAUGUGCCAGCAGCCGCGGUAAUACAUAGGGUGCAAGCGUUGUCCGGAAUUAUUGGGCGUAAAGAGCUCGUAGGUGGUUCGUCACGUCGGAUGUGAAACUCUGGGGCUUAACCCCAGACCUGCAUUCGAUACGGGCGAGCUUGAGUAUGGUAGGGGAGUCUGGAAUUCCUGGUGUAGCGGUGGAAUGCGCAGAUAUCAGGAGGAACACCAAUGGCGAAGGCAGGACUCUGGGCCAUUACUGACACUGAGGAGCGAAAGCGUGGGGAGCGAACAGGAUUAGAUACCCUGGUAGUCCACGCCGUAAACGGUGGGCACUAGUUGUGGGGACCUUCCACGGUCUCUGCGACGCAGCUAACGCAUUAAGUGCCCCGCCUGGGGAGUACGAUCGCAAGAUUAAAACUCAAAGGAAUUGACGG
rnacentral:rRNA from 1 species